rnacentral:rRNA from 1 species
GAUGAACGCUGGCGGCGUGCCUAAUACAUGCAAGUCGAACGCUGAAGGAAGGAGCUUGCUCUUUCCGGAUGAGUUGCGAACGGGUGAGUAACGCGUAGGUAACCUGCCUGGUAGCGGGGGAUAACUAUUGGAAACGAUAGCUAAUACCGCAUAACAGUAGAUGUUGCAUGAUAUCUACUUAAAAGGUGCAAUUGCACCACUACCAGAUGGACCUGCGUUGUAUUAGCUAGUUGGUGAGGUAACGGCUCACCAAGGCGACGAUACAUAGCCGACCUGAGAGGGUGAUCGGCCACACUGGGACUGAGACACGGCCCAGACUCCUACGGGAGGCAGCAGUAGGGAAUCUUCGGCAAUGGACGGAAGUCUGACCGAGCAACGCUGCGUGAGUGAAGAAGGUUUUCGGAUCGUAAAGCUCGGUUGUAAGAGAAGAACGAGUGUGAGAGUGGAAAGUUCACACUGUGACGGUAUCUUACCAGAAAGGGACGGCUAACUACGUG